rnacentral:rRNA from 1 species
CCCCACUAUGCUUUGCCCUAAACAUUGAUAGUGCACUACACCCACUAUCCGCCCGGGAACUACGAGCACCAGCUUAAAACCCAAAGGACUUGGCGGUGCUUUAGAUCCACCUAGAGGAGCCUGUUCUAGAACCGAUAACCCCCGUUCAACCUCACCUUUCCUUGUUUUUUCCGCCUAUAUACCGCCGCCGUCAGCCUACCCUGUGAAGGCCCAGCAGUGAGCAAAAUCAGUACAACUCAAAACGUCAGGUCGAGGUGUAGCGCAUGGAAAGGGAAGAAAUGGGCUACAUUCCCUCAAUAUCAGGGAACACGAAAAGUGCACUGAAACGUACAUUCAAAGGAGGAUUUAGCAGUAAGAAGAAAAUAGAGUGUUCUCCUGAAACAGGCUCUGAAGCGCGCACACACCGCCCGUCA